rnacentral:lncRNA from 1 species
CUUGUACGAUGGCUAUCUUUGUAAGUGCCACUUCUUUUUAAUAACUUGUGUUGGCACUGCUUUGAAGUUUUUCAAGCAACCCCUGGUUCAUGCGGAAGGAAGACCUAUCGGAAGCAGAAUCCUUUUUUCAUGUCAGAAGCAUCGCAUUUCAGGUGGAUCUAAUUUCUAUUGUUUAAGCCAGGUCUGGCUGUAUUCCUCAUAUUUACAAGAUGUAGAGUAGAACCCAGCCGAAUUAAAAGACAUUAUAAGAAGCUGUCACAAUUUUUUGAAGAAAAAUGCUAUUCCUAGACCUCUGAAGGCUCUUAAAUGAUAUUAGCUUGGCCUAGAAUAUGAAAAAAAAAAAUCAUUCAGGCUCUUUGACGACCAGUUGUCACCCCUAUCACUGAUAAGUGAAUCAGGGACCAAUUGUUGGAAAACAUUAUGCAUCUUAUUUCUUGUUGAGAACGGAUCACUAAAUUAGCAUGCAUUGAAUUAAAAUCGAAGGGUAAGUUAACAUGCGUUGAAUUAUAAGUAACAUGCAUUGAAUUUCUAUUUAUGAAAAAGCAUCCCCACUAGGUAUCCUCUGAAAGCUUCCUAAAUUGAUAAGUAUGGUCAUGCCUAUUAAUUCUAUGUUUCAAUUGAUAAACUUCUGGGCUAGGAAAUCUUUGGCACUAAAAGUAACUAACGGAGAAAAAAAAUCAUUUUUGGAGGUACAACCUUUUGCACACCUUUUUUGUUGAAUUGAGAUGCUCACAACAGUAUCCGUUCUCAGAGAGGUCUGAUGGCCCUUGUGGACGUUGAAGGCGUACCGUUUCAUCUUAAAGAACUGGUUCUCACCAAUUUCAUGGCUAGUCGAGAGUCGAUUCAAGAAAUUGUCGCCAAGCAUUAUACAAAGCAGCUUCUGCACGAGAUAUACAAGGUGAGAUCAUCACCACAAUUUCCUAAAGAUACAUUAUGAAGAAAAAAGUGCGUAUCUUUUAUCUUUAAGGCUAUGUAGCAUUUAUGUUCAUAUUUUUAGGCUCGUUCAAAAUCAUUGUACAGCACAAUACAUUGUUCGUUGCCCAAUUUACCCAUAAAAUGUUGUUCUUGGUUGUAAAUUUCCUUUGUAUGCAAUAUAGGUAUUUGGUUCUGCUGGUUUGAUAGGAAAUCCUAUGGGUUUUGCAAGAAACGUUGGGAUUGGCAUCAAAGAUUUCCUCUCAGUUUCUUCAAAGGGCAUUGUACAGGUCUGCUAUAGUCGUUCACAUUUAUGUGUUUAUCAUCCAUAUCACACCAGGAGUGACAUUAAUAGUGUCCAUGCAGAGCCCUACUGGACUUAUAACUGGAGUGGCACAAGGCUCAAAAAGCCUUCUCGGCAAUACUAUCUAUGCCAUGAGCAGUGCUGCUUCACAGUUCAGUAAAGCUGUCCACAAGGUACUCUAUUCUCCUCCUCUAUCUUUAUAAAUCAGAAAAUGCUUGUAUCCGGAUUCUGGUCAUAAGAUAUUUUUGUUUUUCCUUUCAGGGCAUUGUUGCUUUAACCUUCGAUGAGCAGGUUGCUGCCAAAAUGGAAAGACGGCAGAAUGAUCAUGAUUCUCAUGCCAAAGGCAUACUAAAUGAAUUUUUUGAGGUAUUUUACGAGUAAAAGAAGUGUUAAGGUCAAUAUUGAUAAUCAAUUCUAUGUUCUCAAUUUUUCUUUUUCUUCUAAUGUUUCAGGGUCUAACUGGACUUCUUCAAUCCCCCAUAAGAGGUGCUGAGAAACAUGGGCUUCCUGGAGUUGUAUCAGGUGAGAGUAGAAAAGAAGUUCGCUACCAAUAUAAUGACAGCCUAAAUCUGCAUUCAUCUAGCUGAGCUUGCCAUAAUAUUAUUUCUACAGGGAUAGUCCUAGGCACUGCUGGACUGGUGGCAAGGCCGAUGGCCAGCAUCUUUGAAACAACUGGAAAAGCAGCACAAAGCAUCAGGAAAAGAAGUAGCCCUCACCAAUCCAAACGCUUCCGUACCCGACUGCCAAGGCCUCUAGCCAGAGACUUGCCCUUGU